AACACAUGCAAGUCGAGGGGUAACGGAAGUAGCUUGCUACUAGACGACGACCGGCGCACGGGUGAGUAACGCGUAUGUAAUCUGCCUUGUACAGAGGGAUAGCCCAGAGAAAUUUGGAUUAAUACCUCAUAGUAUUACCGAAUCGCAUGAUUUGGUAAUCAAAGCUCCGGCGGUACAAGAUGAACAUGCGUGACAUUAGCUAGUUGGUAAGGUAACGGCUUACCAAGGCUACGAUGUCUAGGGGUUCUGAGAGGAUGAUCCCCCACACUGGUACUGAGACACGGACCAGACUCCUACGGGAGGCAGCAGUGAGGAAUAUUGGUCAAUGGACGCAAGUCUGAACCAGCCAUCCCGCGUGAAGGAUGACUGCCCUAUGGGUUGUAAACUUCUUUUAUAUGCAAAUAAACCUACUUUCGUGAAAGUAGCUGAAGGUAGCAUAUGAAUAAACACCGGCUAACUCCGUGCCAGCAGCCGCGGUAAUACGGAGGGUGUAAGCGUUAUCCGGAUUUAUUGGGUUUAAAGGGUACGUAGGCGGUAAUAUAAGUCAGUGGUGAAAUCCUGCAGCUCAACUGU
rnacentral:rRNA from 1 species